GGUCCCGUGAUUCUUGUGUUCUUAAUUAGAAAUCUGUUCAAAGAAUGAUAUGGAGAGAAUCUAUUGUUUUCAUACAAAGUGAAUUUAAAAUGUUAGUGAAAAUUCUGACAUCCUCUUAAAAGACGAGAAGACCCCAUAAAACUUAAUUUGAUCUAAUUAUCCUUUGGUUUAAAAUUUAAAUGGGGACUUUAGAGUAUUCUAAUAACUUAAAGACCUAUAUUUAUAUUCUUUGAGAAGCUACUUUGGGGAUAACAGGGUAAAAUAUUUAGAGAGUCCUUAUCGAUAAAUAUGCCUACUACCUCGAUGUUGGAUUAUCGG
rnacentral:rRNA from 1 species